GAUGAAGAACGUAGCGAAAUGCGAUAAGUAAUGUGAAUUGCAGAAUUCAGUGAAUCAUCGAGUCUUUGAACGCACAUUGCGCCCCCUGGUAUUCCGGGGGGCAUGCCUGUCCGAGCGUCAUUGCUGCCCUCAAGCACGGCUUGUGUGUUGGGCUCCCGCCCCCCGGCUUCGGGGGGCGGGCCCGAAAGGCAGCGGCGGCACCGCGUCCGGUCCUCGAGCGUAUGGGGCUUCGUCACCCGCUCUGUAGGCCCGGCCGGCGCCCGCCGGCGACCCCAAUCAAUCUUUCCAGGUUGACCUCGGAUCAGGUAGGGAUACCCGCUGAACUUAAGCAUAUCAAUAAGCGGAGGA
rnacentral:misc_RNA from 1 species